rnacentral:lncRNA from 1 species
ACUCCAGUAGCGGCGGGAGCAGCAGCGUUAGGCCGGGGUGUGGCUGCACCUCUGCGAAGGCUGUCGUGCCCCGUGCAGCUGCGGCGUUCGGGUGGGGGAGGGGAGGCUCACACCCUGCGGCGGCUUAAGCCUGGAUUUACGCACUGGAGGAGGGAAUUAGCCCUGAGAUGUCAGCCCUGUGCCCCUGGCGCUGUCCACCCGGACGCCCGCGGAGCGCCAGGCGCCGCAGCGGACCGCGCGCGCACUGAUUGCCGCAGCUACUCUCCCUGCCGUCGCCGCCCGGGACCGGGUGACAUUGAGGUUUUCGUCUAUCGCCGCUGGGCCGAUAGGGCUUCUUUUUAAGAUUUGGCUUUCCAACUCCCACUUUGCAGUUGUGUCAGCCAAUCACGACAGCUUCCCAGACUUCCGUGCAAGUGCCUGCUUUGAGGCCAAGGUGGCCAUAAAUGGCAGCUCCUCAGGCUCCUCCACAAUCUCUGGUUUCUUAUGUUUCUCCAUGAGCUCAGCUUUUUCAUCAACUCCAAUGCUUCAAGCCGAAGUCAUUAGUGAAUGUUCUACAAUCCUUCAGCUGCAGCUCCAGACCUUCACUCCUCCAGCUUCUCCUACAUCCAUCUAACCCUCAAUUCCUACAUUAAAUCUCUUUAUUCCAGAAUAC